AGAGGUUUUUCAAAGGCAGACCAUGUUUAAAACACUGCAUUGCUAUCAUUUUCAAUUUACAGAAUUGGAAGACACCACAAGGACCAACCAGUCCAACUGCCAACCAUGAGCCACCAUGGCAAGGUCCAACCUACUCAAGAAAGAUUUCCUUCAUUGCACAGCCCUAAGCUUGGUACAAGGAUUUCCAAAUGAUCGAGCAUCAUCAAAGAUGGAAGGAAUACAUGGAGACUGUCUUAUCCUUAACACAUGAAACUCC
rnacentral:lncRNA from 11 species